GGCCCUAUAGUCUAGUGGUUAGCAGAUGAUUCUCUGAAUCUCGGGAUCCGAGUUUAAAUCUCGGUGGGACCU
rnacentral:tRNA from 1 species